CACGUAGGGGGCGAGCGUUGUCCGGAUUUAUUGGGCGUAAAGAGCUCGUAGGCGGCUCAGUAAGUCAGGUGUGAAAACUCCAGGCUCAACCUGGAGACGCCACUUGAUACUGCUGUGGCUAGAGUCCGGUAGGGGAGCAUGGAAUUCCCGGUGUAGUGGUGAAAUGCGUAGAUAUCGGGAGGAACACCAAUUGCGAAGGCAGCUCGCUGGGACGUUACUGACGCUGAGACGCGAAAGCGUGGGGAGCAAACAGG
rnacentral:rRNA from 1 species